CACGUAGGGUGCGAGCGUUGUCCGGAAUUAUUGGACGUAAAGAGCUCGUAGGCGGUGUGUCGCGUCGGCCGUGAAAACCUGCAGCUUAACUGUGGGCUUGCGGUCGAUACGGGCAUCACUGGAGUUCGGCAGGGGAGGACUGGAAUUCCUGGUGUAGCGGUGAAAACGCGCAGAUAUCAGGGAGGAACACCGGUGGCGAAGGCGGGUCUCUGGG
rnacentral:rRNA from 1 species